UUAGUACCGUGAGGGAAUGGUGAAAAGUACCCCGGGAGGGGAGUGAAAGAGUUCCUGAAACCAUGCGCUUACAAUCCGUCAGAGCACCGUUUGUGUGUGUGAUGGCGUGCCUUUUGAAGAAUGAGCCUGCGAGUCAGCGGCAUGUCGCGAGGUUAACCCGUGUGCGGGGUAGUCGUAGCGAAAGCGAAUCCGAAUAGGGUGUUGUAAGUGGCAUGUCCUGGACCCGAAGCGGGGUGAUCUACCCAUGGCCAGUGUGAAGCAGCUGUAAGAGGUUGUGGAGGCGCGAACCCACUUAGGUUGAAAACUGAGGGGAUGAGCUGUGGGUAGGGGUGAAAGGCCAAUCAAACUCCGUGAUAGCUGGUUCUCCCCGAAAUGCAUUUAGGUGCAGCGUGAUGUGAGCUUGCCGGAGGUAGAGCUACUGGUUGGUUGAGCGGGACUAUCAUCUUAGCGACGUCAGCCAAACUCCGAAUGCCGGUUGAAGUGGUGCAUUGCAGUGAGACUGUGGGGGAUAAGCUUCAUAGUCGAGAGGGAAACAGCCCAGAUCGCCGGUUAAGGCCCCUAAGGGUGUGCUAAGUGGAAAAGGAUGUGGGAUCGCGAAGACAGCCAGGAGGUUGGCUUAGAAGCAGCCAUCCUUGAAAGAGUGCGUAAUAGCUCACUGGUCGAGUGGUUUCGCGCCGACAAUGUAGUGGGGCUCAAGCACACCGCCGAAGCCGCGGCAAGCCUUUUUGGCUUGGGUAGGGGAGCGUCGUGUGUGGGGUGAAGCCGUACUGUAAGGAGCGGUGGACUGCAUGCGAGUGAGAAUGCAGGCAUGAGUAACGAAUGGCAAGUGAGAAUCUUGCCCGCCGGAUGACUAAGGGUUCCUGGGUCAAGUUCGUCUUCCCAGGGUGAGUCGGGUCCUAAGGCGAGGCCGACAGGCGUAGUCGAUGGUCAACGGGUUGAUAUUCCCGUACCCGUAUAUGCGCGCCCAGUAUCGAAGCGGUGAUACUAACCACCCUGACCCACCGACGUUGGCCACUCUUUGAGUGGUUGGUUGGUGGUGAUGCGUGGGGCCUGAUCCGUUGUAGGUCAGUGAUGGGGUGACGCAGUGAGGUAGCCGAGCCGCUUAUUGGAUUGCGGUGCAAGCGUGUGGCACGACAACAUUGGUCAAAUCCGGUUGUCAAGUGUGUGAGGCGUGAUGCGUAGCCCUUUGUGGGUGAUGUUGGUGAUCCUGUACUGCCGAGAAAAGCCUCUAGCGAUGUGUGUGUACGGCCCGUACCCAUAACCGACACAGGUGGUCAGGUAGAAAAUACUAAGGCGAGCGGGUGAACUGUGGUUAAGGAACUCGGCAAAAUGCCCCCGUAACUUCGGGAGAAGGGGGACCUAUGCUGGUCAAGCAUGUUUCGUGUGGUAGCUGGUGUGGGUCGCAGAGAAGAGAGGGGAGCGACUGUUUAUCAAAAACACAGGUCCGUGCGAAGACGGUUAAGUUGAUGUAUACGGACUGACGCCUGCCCGGUGCUGGAAGGUUAAGAGGACCUGUUAGGGCUUUUGGGCCCGAAGCGGAGAAUUUAAGCCCCAGUAAACGGCGGUGGUAACUAUAACCAUCCUAAGGUAGCGAAAUUCCUUGUCGGGUAAGUUCCGACCUGCACGAAUGGCGUAACGACUCCCCUGCUGUCUCAACC
rnacentral:rRNA from 1 species